UACGUAGGGGGCAAGCGUUGUCCGGAAUCAUUGGGCGUAACGCGCGUGUAGGCGGCCAGGUAAGUCCGUUCUGAAAGCCCGGGGCUCAACCCCGGGAGGCGGAUGGAUACUGCUUGGCUCGAGUCCGGAAGAGGCGAGUGGAAUUCCCGGUGUAGCGGUGAAAUGCGCAGAUAUCGGGAGGAACACCAAUGGCGAAGGCAGCUCGCUGGGACGGUACUGACGCUGAGACGCGAAAGCGUGGGGAGCAAACAGG
rnacentral:rRNA from 1 species